GAUAGCUCAGUUGGUAGAGCACGAAACUCUUAAUCUCAGGAUUGUGGGUUCAAGCCCAACUUUGGGCA